rnacentral:tRNA from 1 species
GCUGAAAUAGCUCAGAGGGAAGAGCGGCUGAUUUGUAAUCAGCAGGGCCGCGGUUCAAGGCCGCGUUUCAGCUCCA